CUCCAUUAAUUGUGCGCUAGUUGACAUCUUUGCAACAUAUAUACUUAUAUUAAUUUAAUUUGAAAUAAAUUGAAUAAGGGAAAAAAACAAGACGACUCUCUGAUUUUCGAAAAGUUAUUUGGUGAUUUUCCUUCGCCACGUGAUCACUCACAUUUUCUUCAUUGAAGAAUUAUUAUUGGUGUCUUCUAAAAUUUUCUCCAUCAACAUCUUUCCUACCCUCGUUGAUCGCCAUUGCUCGUUCUCUUGCUCCCUCCCUCCCUCUCUCUCACAGUCGUUUCUCCCUCAUUGUUUUCAAUCGCCUGUUUCCUCCAUCUCGGAACUCACCGAUUGUCAAUAGCCCCGGUCAUCAAUGACCGACGGCUAUCUGGUUGCAUGCUUCUCUGUCUCUCUCUCUGAUCAUAAUGUGCCAUCACCGAUCGGAUUUUGCUAUUUUUCGCAUUUUACUCCACUCGGAAUCGAAGUCUGUUAUCACUGAUUGUCAGAAAUUUUGCCCUCACCGACCGUCGUUUACGGUUUCUUCCCCAUCAAGUCGUGCGUCUCUCAUUCUCAGUCUCGCUAUUCAGUUUACAAAGAAGUAUUUGUUUAUUUGCAGGUUGAGUAAAAGGCGAGCUUGAGUUCAGGAGUGCAUAUCAAUUGCUAAUAAGUCAUAGGAAAACCCUUAGUCUGAAGGUUAAGCAAUAUUUUCAGAGUUGUUUGAUGCCUUAAUGAAGCCAGAGUCCCCCGCAGAACACUUGCAACGGUGCUGCUAAAUGAAUCUAACGGUGUUCCCCAUACUCCGAUCCUUCAUUGUCAUGAAAUUGAACGAUUUGUGUCCGAAAAGUGGGGGAGAUGGAGAGAGGGACUCUCCACUAGGCAUCACACCCUCAGCCAUUUGGCCGUCUGCCUCUGAGGGCUCCGACGAACUCGGCCGGGGGCAAGGGCAGUACCUGGUGGCAACUACCCCGACCUCCUCCCUACCAUGGCGUCAGCCUUUUUUUUAAAAAGAAAAAUUAUAAUGUUCACUUUCUUUAAAUUUCUAAAAAGGGGGAAAAAAAAAAACUCUCUUAUUAACAGAUCUAUUAAUUUAGUAGGCAAACUAAAACAGUUAUUGAAAUCUACAGUGGGCAAAGUGACCCAACUCAAAAUUUGAUGGGUAAAACGAGACUAAGCAAAAACUUCAAUGACUAAAGUGUCUUUUUCCUUUU